rnacentral:ncRNA from 1 species
ACGGAAGCUUGGCGAGGCCAAGAUCUAGCCGGAAGAGAAGGCUAAAUCUCCUGAACCAGGCUCCUAGCACGGAUCCCGGCACCCACGCGGAGCACAUGCCGCGGAAUAGGCAAAAGUGUUGCGGGCCUGCGUGAUUGCGAGAAUGCGGACGGCCACGACGGCUCCUUGGGUGGAGUCGCAGCCGAAGCGCAUCGCAAGGACGCCGAGGCCACCCACGCAACCCACAUUGCACGCUUGGUAACCGGGCAUCCGUGCUAGCGGGCGGCGAGCCGAACAUCGUUCGGAGCGCCGCCCGCUUCGCGUU